AGUUUCAUGACUCUUGUUUGAAACAUUGCUUGUUCUCUAAUGUUUGCUCUUAAAGAUUAAGGAGACUUUCUCUUAAGAUGUCUGUGCCUUACAGUAAUGUGAUAAAGUAUUCAUAUGUGAAGAAAUGGAAGCAUUUAACUUUUCUCUCUAUUCACAACUUUUCAGUGAGUACUCCUUCUUUCAUGACAAUCAGAGUUGUUUGCGUAAGUUGACUAAGAAUCUGUUCUCCUUGCAACGGGACAUCACUGGAAACAUUGGUUAUUUAGCAAAGCUUUGACUGGAAGGUCAUAGUUGAGAGACAUGCAUAGACUCGGAUAUAACCAGACAGCUUUAAGGAACUAAGAUGGACUUUAUGGAGUGAACAAAACUCCUUGAAAAUGUUCCUCUGAAACCUUGCUUCCAGAGCUCCCACAGCCUUGCCAGGUGAGUAAAGAAUGUUAGUUCCUGGCAGGUGCAGGGAACUCAGGAUAUUUGGGGACCUCCAGAAGAGGAAUUUGCAUAAAUCUACAGGCCUUGGAAGAAACUGAGGCAUAGAGCAGUUAACAACUUGCUCAAGGUGAGAGUGGGAACAGUGGAGCCCUCUUACCUAUGGCCCCACUCAUAUGAAACUGCUGUUGGUCAGAGGAUGGAAUUCCUGGAAUUAUCCUUUAGUUUUCUUAUUUUUUCCUUCUCAUUUUUGGAGUGAAUUACUUACAUAAAUUUAUUUAUGUAAGUUAAAAUGUCUUCAUUUAAAAUUUUAAUAUUUUACCCCUUAUUGAUUU